rnacentral:rRNA from 1 species
AACGCGAAGAACCUUACCAAGGCUUGACAUAACACCGGAAAGCAUUAGAGAUAAGUGCCCCCCUUGUGGUUCGGUGUAACAGGUGGUGCCAUGGCUGUCGUCAGCUCGUGUCGUGAGAUGUUGGGUUAAGUCCCGCAACGAGCGCAACCCUUGUUCUGUGUUGCCAGCAUGCCCUUCGGGGUGAUGGGGACUCACAGGAGACUGCCGGGGUCAACUCGGAGGAAGGUGGGGACGACGUCAAGUCAUCAUGCCCCUUAUGUCUUGGGCUGCACACGUGCUACAAUGGCAGGUACAAAGAGCUGCGAUACCGUGAGGUUGAGCGAAUCUCAAAAAGCCUGUCUCAGUUCGGAUUGGGGUCUGCAACUCGACCCCA